rnacentral:rRNA from 1 species
GGAGGUGCGGGGUCAAGAAUGCAAGUCGGACGCUGAUUGCUGGGUAGCAAUAUUCGGCAGUCGGAGUGGCGUAAGGGUGCGUAACACGUGGGUAAUCCGCCCUGAAGUUGGGGAUAACUCGCUGAAAGGCGAGCUAAUACCGAAUGUGGAUCUUGGGUGGCAUCGCUUGAGAUCUAAAGUUGGGGACCGUAAGGCCUGACGCUUCAGGAUGAGCCCGCGGCCUAUCAGCUUGUUGGUGAGGUAACGGCUCACCAAGGCUAAGACGGGUAGCUGGUCUGAGAGGACGACCAGCCACACUGGAACUGAGACACGGUCCAGACACCUACGGGUGGCAGCAGUCGAGAAUUUUUCACAAUGGGCGAAAGCCUGAUGGAGCGACGCCGCGUGGGGGAUGAAUGGCUUCGGCCCGUAAACCCCUGUCAUUUGCGAACAAACCUUGCCCGCUAACACCGGUCGAGCUGAUUGUAGCGAAAGAGGAAGGGACGGCUAACUCUGUGCCAGCAGCCGCGGUAAUACAGAGGUCCCAAGCGUUGUUCGGAUUCACUGGGCGUAAAGGGUGCGCAGGUGGUCGGGUAAGUCUGAUGUGAAAUCCCGCAGCUUAACUGCGGAAUGGCAUUGGAUACUAUUCGGCUAGAGGGUUGGAGGGGGGACUGGAAUUCUCGGUGUAGCAGUGAAAUGCGUAGAUAUCGAGAGGAACACCAGUGGCGAAGGCGAGUCCCUGGACAACUCCUGACGCUGAGGCACGAAAGCUAGGGGAGCAAACAGGAUUAGAUACCCUGGUAGUCCUAGCCGUAAACGGUGCACGUUUGCUGUAAGAGGAAUCGACCCCUUUUGUGGCGAAGCUAACGCGUUAAACGUGCCGCCUGGGGAGUACGGUCGCAAGAUUAAAACUCAAAGAAAUUGACGGGGGCCUGCACAAGCGGUGGAGUAUGUGGCUCAAUUUCGAUGCAACGCGAAGAACCUUACCUGGGCCUUGACAUGUAGGUAGUAGAACCGUGAAAACGGGACGA